GAAAGUGAAGGAAGAGUUGGUUUAGGCAGUUUUGGAAUUUCAGGCUUUGGCAUAGUUGGGACUUGUAGCUUUGGAAUCUCAGGAAUUAUUGGCUUUGGUAGUUCUGGGAUUUCAGGCUUUGGCAUAGAUGGUACUUCAGGCUUUGGAAGUUCGGGCAUUUUGGGCUUUGGUAGUUCUGGGAUUUUAGGCUUUGGCAUAGCUGGGACUUCUAGCUUUGGAACUUCGGGUACUUUUGGCUUUGGCAUAGCUGGGACUUCUGGCUUUGGAUGUUCUGGGACUUUUGGCGUUGGUAGUUCUGGGAUUUCAGGCUUUGGCAUAGCUGGGAUCUCAGGCUUUGGCACACUUGGUUGCUCGGGCUUUGGUAAAGUUGGAACUUCAGGCUUUAUCACCGGAGGAACCUCAGUCUUUGGCAUUGCUGGGAUUUCUUGCUUUUUCAAGGGAGGAAACUCGAGUUUUGGUAUUGCUGGAAUCUCAGGCUUUGGAAUCUCGGGUUUUGGUAUUGCUAGAAUCUCAGGCUUUGGCAUAGCAGGAAUCUCGGGUUUUGGUACUACUGGAAUCUCAGGCUUUGGCAUAGCAGGAAUCUCAGGUUUUGGUAGUGCUGGAAUCUCAGGCUUUGGGAUAGCAGGACUCUCGGGUUUUGGUACAGCUGGGAUCUCAGGCUUUUUCACAGUUGGAGGAACCUCUGUCUUUGGCACUGCUGGAACUUCUGGCUUUUUCAAGGAAGGAAACUCGGGUUUUGGCAUUGUUGGAAUCUCAGGCUUUGGCAUAGCAGAAAGCUCGGGUCUCGGCACAGCUGGGAUCUCAGGUUUUGGAACAACUGGCAUCUUAGGCUUUGGCAAAGUUGGUAACUCGGGUUUUGGUAUUGUUGGAAGCUCAGGCUUCGGCACAGUUGGGAUUUCAAGCUUUGGCAAGGCUGGAACUUUCGGGAGUUCUGGUUUAGGCGUCUCUAGGAGGUGGCGUGCAGUCGCACCAGUUAUGUUGCCAUAGAUGAAGACUAAAUUGAGAAAUGCAAGUAUUAAGAGGGAGGGUACAUGGUAAUGCUGAGCCAUUUUUCUGCAGACCAUAGAAGCGAUGUGAUUCAGAUGUGGCAUUCGCAUUAAGUCUGUUGCUUUAUGUAGGUUUUAAGAAUGCAUGCAACAAGAACUUUCUUGAUUUUGUUUGUUACGCAAGGACGUGAGUAGUUGAAUUUCUCAUCAACUCAGCUUCUAUUUGGUACCUCAAAAGUCAGUCUGGAUCACCUAAUUACAUAGUAGCUUAAACCUAUCACAAGCAUAUAGGUUAUGCUGGUAACCUGAUAAUAUUAAACUGAUUUCAUUUAUUUGAAAAGAGAAAUAAGUGGUCACUUUGUACCGCAAAUCUUCAUUUUGGUGUGUACGUAAUAACUCUAGGACAGACAAAAACCAGCAAAUGUCAAGGAGUGGGUAUAAUGGAAUAAUUUCACUAUUAUUAGCAUAUUACCCAUUAUGGUCACCUCUGAACUAGCCAACUAUUAGAAUUAUAAUGUAAAAUAACUUCCUCUCUCGAUCUUCCUUGUUUCGUCUUAGUUAUUUUCGCUACAAAUUAAAAGAGUGACACUCAUGUCUAUCGAAUCAAAGAGGACUAUUGGUCUUGCCUGAGUUUACAGAGCCAUAAACGAAGAUGAUGGCUAUUCGACAUAAAGAUGGUCGAAUUGGCGAAUUCAAGCAUUUAAAAAGGCGAUGCCCAGUAGGAUUGCUCUGACUUUCUACCUUUUCUAUGGAAAAACUAAACCAGCGAAUGACAUCAACUUUUGUGUACGAAAGGGAUAGUAAAAAACUGCAAACCUACUUGGAUCCAAUUAUUUUACCGCACGUAAAACCUUAAGGUAGAACUGUUCGAUAGAAUUACUUGGGACUUGGCGUAUAUUGCUUUCUUGAUAAUAAAGUUGAUUAAGAUCGAUUUGUGAAAUCAAUUGAAUGAUGUUUUUGAGGUUGUUAUAAGAUGUUUUUACCUUAUACAGCAAAAUAUUAAUUUAGUACGAUUUCCAAUGAGACUAUUAUGAUCAAAAAAGUACUACAUUUUAAAAAAUGAAAACUCGUGGAUGGAUGACACCAUUGACAUGUGAGAUUAAUUUUCAAUGGUCAAAUUUUUAAACCCUGCUCAUUGCUUUAGUUGCAUUGGCAAUUACUCAAAUGGAUGCACAAAAGAGAUGUACUGAAAUUCAGAAUCCAAAGGGAUAGGUUCUUUCUGGGAAUGAACUUUGCUCGAGUGGUGGUACUAUUGGCCAAUUUGUUUGCACCUGUGUUAUAAUUGUAGUCUUGAUGAUCUUCACUCCACUUAAUAAAUUAACUUUGAUUCAUUUUGAAGGUUGUUCUUUAUUUAUUGAUUAAUUAACAGGAUAUUUCGUCCAAAAAAAAAAAGCCUCGUGGAUGAGAGUUAAAGUAAUAAAGUAAUAUUUUUGAUAUAAUGUUGUUACAAUUGCUCUUUGUUUACUCUUCGAUCUACACUGCUUACUAAAAAUCUCGAGUCACCACCGACUGCAUAUAGCUUUGAAAUACUGGAAUUUCAGGUUUGGUAUAGUUAGUACUUCAGGCAUUGGCAGGAGGAUUUGGAACAAAAAGAAUCCAAAGCUUUGGCAAGGCUGGAAUAUAUGGGAAUUUCGUUUAGGAAUCUCAGGAAUGGCGUCUCUCUAAAAGGCGGCUCAUGUAGUUGCACCAGCUAACUGGCCAUGCAUGAAGCAUAAGUUGUUCUUAUCUUUCUUUUGGAUCAGGCGAAAUAGAUGUAAACGGACUCCAUUUAAUGUGCAUUAGGAUGAACGAAACAAAAAGCAAAAUUAGUUAAAUCAUCAGUUUGGUUCUACACCAAGAAUGUGAAGUUCACUCCAUUUGUGGCACUUAAUUAUACUAAUUCAUCCAUUAUUGCACCUUCUUGAAAUGUGAUGGAAGAAAUUGGUUACUAUAUAUUAGGAAAGGAAACCGGUGAGGGAAAGAAUGGACAAACAACAAUUGAGAAAAAACAGAGAUGACCGAUGAUAGGAACUAAACAAAAGUAACAAAGAUCUAAGCCUUAUUACACUCUAUAUAUAGACAGUACAUAAAACACUCAUUUAUUAUAAUGAUAAAUGAAACAUGGCACAUCCAAUUCAAAUACUACUAUAAAAGAAUUGCAGUUUCUACUCCUAUCAGAAAGUAUCCAAUACUUUCUCCAAUGCCAUGGCGCAGGUUGCAAACUUCAUAGACUCGGAUGGAAUCACAAAACAUCAGUUGGGUACUUUCUAAUAGAACGAAAGUAGCAUAUAAUUUACUCAAGGAGUAGCGGGUUUGUAUGGCGGAGAAAGUGAAGGAAGAAUUGGUUGAGGCAGUUCUGGAAUUUCAGGCUUCGGCAUAGUUGGGACUUUUAGCUUUGGAAUCUCUGGAACUUUUGGCUUUGGUAGUUCUGGAAUUUCGGGCUUCGGCAUAGAUGGUACUUCAGGCCUUGGAAGUUCAGGGACUUUUGGCUUUGGUAGUUCUGGGAUUUCCGGCUUUGGCAUAGCUGGGACUUCUAGCUUUGGAAGUUCGGGGAUUUUUGGCUUUGGCAUAGCUGGGACUUCUGGCUUUGGAAGUUCUGGGACUUUUGGCUUUGGUAGUUCUGGGAUUUCAGGCUUUGGCAUAGCUGGGAUAUCGGGCUUUGGUAAAGUUAGAACUUCAGGCUUUUUCACCGGAGGAACGUCAGUCUUUGGUGUUCCUGGAAUUUCUUGCUUUUUCAAGGGAGGAAACUCAGAUUUUGGUAUUGCUGGUAUCUCCGGCUUUGGUACUACUGGAAUCUCGGGCUUCGGCACUACUGGAAUCUCAGGCUUUGGCAUAGCAGGAAUCUCGGGUUUUGGAAUAGCUGGGAUCUCAGGCUUUGGUAAAAUCGGUAAUUCGGGCUUUGGCAUAGUUGGGAUCUCAGGCUUUUUCACCGUUGGAGGAACCUCUGUCUUUGGCACUGCUGGGACUUCUGGCUUUUUCAAGGAAGGAAACUCAGGUUUUGGCAUUGUUGGAAUCUCAGGCUUUGGCAUAGCAGGAAGCUUGGGUUUCGGCACAGCUGGGAUCUCAGGUUUUGGAACAACUGGCAUCUUAGGCUUUGGCAAAGUUGGUAACUCAGGCGUAGGAACAAUUGGUAUUUCAGGUUUUGGCAUGCUAGGAAUCUCAGGCUUCGGUAUGGUUGGAAGCUCAGACUUCGGCACAGCUGGGACUUUCGGGAGUUCUGGUUUUGGAAUCUCAGGGAGGGGUGUCUCUAGGAGGUGGCGUGCAGUCGCACCAGUUAUGUUGCCAUAAAUGAAGACUAAAUUGAGAAAUGCAAGUAUUAAGAGGGAGGAUACAUGGUAAUGCUGAGCCAUUUUUCUUCAGAACUUAGAAGCUAAAACAAAGUAUGAUGUGUAUAAGAGUCGAUGUGAUUCGGAUGUGGCAUUGGCAUUAAGUCUGUUACUUUAUAUAGGUUUUAAGAAUGCAUGCAAGGAGGACUUUCUUGAUUUUGUUUGUUACGCAAGGGCAUGAGUAGUUGAAUUUCUCAUCAACUCGGGUUCUAGUUGGUUCCUCAAAAGUCAAUCUGGAUUACCUAAUUACAUAAUAGUUUAAACCUAUCACAAGCAUAGAGGUUAUGCUGGCAACCUGAUAUUAUUAAACUGAUUUCAUUUAUUUGAAAAGAGAAAAAGUAUUUCACUUUUUACAUCAAAUCUACUGGACAACACUGCCAAAAACUACCAAAUGUCCUAACAGAAACGUGAUUACUUUAUCUUUCGAACUUUAGGAUUAAUGCUUUACUGGUUCACAUCACCAUUAGAGGAAAUGGGUGACAAGAAGUGGGUAUAAUGGAAUAAUCACCUUAUUAUUAGCAUAUUACCCAUUAUGGUCAUCUCUAAACUAGCUAUAAGAAUUAUAAUGCAAAAUAACUUCCUCUCUCGAUCUACCUUUGUUUUGUCUUUGUUAUUUUCUCUAAAAAUUAAAACAGAAGCAGCUUAAUGUCUAUCGAAUCAACGCAGACAAUUGGCUUUGGCUGAGUUUACAGAAACAUAUGGCUAUAAAAUGAUAGAACUGACAAAUUCAAGAACUUAAAAAGGCGAUGCCCGGUAGGAUUGAUCUGACGUUCUACCUUUUUUAAGGAAAAACCAAAUCAGCGAAUGACAUCAACUUCUAUGUACGAAAGGGAUAAUAAAUAACUGCGAACCUACUUGUAUUCAAUUAUUUCACCACAUGUUAAACCUUAUAGUUGAAAACUAUUCAAUAAAAUUACUUGGGACUUGGUGUAUAUUGCUUUCUCGACGAUGAAGUUGAUUAAGAUUGAUUUGUGACAAAUGAAUGAUGAGUUUCUGAGUGGUUGUUAUUAGGUGCUUUUACCUUUAUACAGAAAAAUAUGUAUUUAGUACUAUUUCUAAUGAGACCAAUAUGAUUAAAAAAAUAAUCCAUUUGAAAAAUAAAAACUCAUGGAUGGAUGACAUAAAUGACAUUUGAAAUUAAUUUUCAAAGGUCAAAUUUUUUAACUCUGCUCUUUGUUUCCUUCUCAUUGUUUCAGUUCUAUUGGGAAUUAAUCAAGUGGAUGCACAAAAGAGAUGUACUGAAAUUCAGAAUCCAAAGGGAUGUGUUCUUUCUGGGAAUGGACUUUGCUCAAGUGGUGGUACUACUGGCCAAUUUGUUUGCACCUGUGUUAUUAUUGUAGUCUUGAUGAUCUUCACUCCACUUAAUUUAUUAACUUUGACAUAAUUUUGAAAGUUGUUCUUUAUUUAUGGAGUAAUUAAAAGGAUAUUUCAUCCGAAAAAAAAAAAAAAAAAGCCUCGUGGGUGAGAAUUAUAAAGUAAUAUUUUUAAUAUGUUGUUAGAAUAUUUAUUUUUUGUCUACUCUUCAAAUAUGACACUGCUUACUAAAAAUCUUGAGUACACCACUGAUUGCAUAUAGCUUCAGAAUACUGAAAUUCCAGGUUUGGUAUAGUUAAUACUUCAGGUCACAGGUUCAAGCCUUGGAAAUAGACUCGGGCAGAGAUGCAAGUUAAGGCUGCAUACAAUACACUCUUGUGGUGGUGCCCUUUCCCGAAUCAUGCACAUAGAGGGAGCUUUUGUGCACCGGGCUGCCCUUUUUCUGGUUUAGGAAUCUCAGGAAUGUAGCUGCACCAGCUAACUGGUCAUGCAUAAAGCAUAAGUUGUUCUUAUCUUUCUUUUGGAUCAGACGAAUAGUGGUAAGCUGAAUCCAUUUAAUGUGCAUUAGGAUGAAUGAAACAAAAAGUAAAAUUAGUUAAAUCAUCAGUUUGGUUCGACCAUAAAAAUGUGAAGUCCACUCUAUCCUGUGGGACUUAAUUAUACUAAUUCAUCCAUUAUUGCACUCUUGAAAUGUGAUGGAAGUCAGUUACUAUAAAUUAGGAAAGAAAAACGGUGAGGGAAAGAAUGGACAAACAACGAUUGAGCAAAUCAAGAGAUGACCAAUAAUAAGAAUUAAACCAGAGUAACAAAGAUCAAAGCUUUAUUACACAAUACAUAUAAAAAGUACAUAAAAAUAACUCACAUAGUACAAUGAAAUAUCAAACAUGGUACACCCAAUUCAAAUACUACUGUAAAAGAAUUGCAAUUUCUACUCCUAGCAGAAAGUAUCCAAUACUUUCUCCAAUGUCAUGGCUCAGGUCACAAACUUCAAAGACUAGGAUGGAAUGGAAAAACAUCAGUUGGGUACUUUCUGAUAGAAUGAAAGUAGCAUAUAAUUUACUCAAGGAGUAGCGGGUUUGUGUGGUGGAGAAACUGAAGGAAGAGUUGGUUUAGGCAGUUCUGGAAUUUCAGGCUUCGGCAUAGUUGGGACUUUUGGCUUUGGUAGUUCUGGGAUUUCAAGCUUUGGCGUAGAUGGUACUUCAGGCUUUGGAAGUUCGGGGACUUUUGGCUUUGGUAGUUCUGGGAUUUUAGGCUUUGGCACAGCUGGGACUUCUGGCUUUGAAAGUUCUGGGACUUUUGGUUUUGGUAGUUCUGGGAUUUCAGGCUUUGGCACAGCUGGGAUCUCAGGCUUUGGCACACUUGGUUGCUCGGGCUUUGGUAAAGUUGGAACUUCAGGCUUUUUCACCGGAGGAACCUCAAUCUUUGGUGUUGCUGGGAUUUCUUGCUUUUUCAAGGGUGGAAAC
rnacentral:lncRNA from 1 species